GUGGAGUGGCCGAGAGGCGAGGCAACGGCCUGCAAAGCCGUCUACACGGGUUCAAAUCCCGUCUCCACCUCGACCA
rnacentral:tRNA from 1 species